rnacentral:lncRNA from 1 species
ACUAAACAUGGACAUGAGUAUUUCCACAUCCUGGUAUUUUUUGACCCAUUCUUCAGCCAGUUGUAGUUUUUUCUUUUCUUUUAACACCAUUUGUAAUUACUGUUUUAUUAUUAUUUGUAGUUAUAUUUAAAAGUAAUCUUAUCUAUAUAUUAUUAUAAAGAACAGUUUUUCUCUUCUCCUUAAGACACCUGAGAUUCCACAUAGAUAAAUCGAGCUCUGUGAGCACGACACGUGUCCCACCAUCCCAAAAACUAGCGUUUCAUUUAAGUUACAGAUCGUAACUGUAACGCCUCCUCUCCUCCUCUGCCUCUCUCCUACGUGAAGUUAUUAAGCACUGUGAUGCCUCAUUUCCUACUUCGUGACAGAUCU